rnacentral:tRNA from 1 species
GCUCCAGUGGCACAACUGGUCAGCGUAUGGUACUUAUACGGCAGUACAGAGUAGAGCUAUGCUGAGGUUGUGAGUUCAAUCCUCAUCUUGAGCA